rnacentral:rRNA from 1 species
AUGAAGGCCAAGGCUUCUCCACCCCAAGCACACUUCUCGAAGACCAAGCUCAAAGGCGACGAGCAUGAGUCUAGUACCACCAAGAUGUCCAAGCCCGAUGAGCUCCAAGACGACACUCCCAAGUUUGACUUCACCGCCAUCCCUCUUUGUGGCAUUGAUGGUGCCGAGUCUACUUCGACUCUUUUCCAAGAUGGUGCGGUGACGACUACAACUAUGGAGCCAAUCAAGGAACAUGCUUUGGAGGCGAGCGACAAGGUGGUGAGCAAGGAUGAUGCUUCCAUCUUAGGAGGCAAGAGUGAUGAUGUGCCAUCUUCGGCCUUCAUCCAUGGCGACGAUGACGAGAUGAUCGAGCACGGGAUUUUCCCUUCGGUCAUGGAGGAGAGUGAUGAUGUGCCAUCUUCGGCCUUCAUCCACAGCGACGACGACGAGAUGGUUGAGCACGGGAUUUUCCCUUCGACCACGGCGACGUAUGAUGACUUGAGUGACUUUAGCCACCAUAUCGAGUGA